GUUUUCUUUGACAGAGAAUGUGCUUCAGUAUUAGGACUAAUCUAGGAUCUCUCAUGCCCGGGCUUGCCGACUACAUGAUGUCUUAUGUUAGAUGAUUAAUACGGUGAUUUUUAUGAAAAAACUAGCAUCUUACGCACCUUAAUUUGUGUUCUUCCUCGGCUUUCGAGAAGUUUCUGGGAAUUGCAAUGGACCAAAUUGUUGCCCAAGGCCUGGAUUCGAAACAUGCAGCUGUAAUGCUAAUCAAUCAUACCCAUUGCUUAUCAGUCGUAAUCAAUUCCUGCUUUUUCAACUUUCUCUUUUUUGGAAAAAGCGGAAGCAUUAUCGGCCAACUGAAAAGAGUAUGUUAUAAGUACAAUGAAAUCUGGGAAAAGAACUAUGGUAAUUCUUUCUCUUCUAUUUGACCUCCAUUUGUUCUGUCAUACAAUCUAACUCACAACAAAUUGGAGGAAAGUAAUUUAUUUUUCCCUAAAUUUAUUUCUAUAAGCAAGAAUUUCAUCCGCUUUAAAAAUAACUAUUUUAAAACAUAUGCCUAACUUUUCUUCAACAUUUCUAUUACUCCCUCAGUCCCUUUUUAUAAAAGUUAAACUUU